rnacentral:lncRNA from 1 species
AAGCAACUGCUGCAGUUCAUGCAAACCUGUAGGAUGGAGGAGUACUUGGGUUCCAGUCUGUGAAAGGGGAAAGGGAAUGCUGGCAGGAGCGACUGCGGCAGUUGACUGGGGAGGGUCUGCAUACCCCAUGACCUUGUGGGCUAUCUCCCCAGCUGCAGGAGGACCAGAGAAGGGCAGAUGAAAAGCUGCAGCCGAGCCUGAUAGGCCUGCACAACUCUCAGGCCAUCUUGCCAAAGGGAGCUGUGACACACUGAUUCAUUCUAUGCAGAUUGGCCACGCGGUGGCAGCAGAGACCGCGGAAAGAACUUCGACGGAGUUCACGCGGACCUGCAGCACGAGAACCCAAAGAGGAAGGGAAGGAAAAAGAUGAAAACCAAGGAAAGCUUCUCCGCACCCAGGAAGUCUGUGCUAAGUGCUUAGGAAUAUCCGUAAAAAAUGAUCGAAUUGAUGUUGCCAUGUUUGUUUGUUUUUGGUUCUUCUGCCAGCGUCUCUUACAUCGUUUUCAAAUACUCAAGCACCAAAAUCUAACUACCGAGCAAACUUAACGAUAAGGAAACUAAGGCAUUGCUGCUGUACCAGGGGAAGCGGCGUAAUCCGCCGCACAGCAGGGCCCCGGCCAUCGUCCGCCGCUGAGCGGGGCGUGACAUGUGGCGAUGUGUGCGGCACGCGACCUUCCGUCCCGGGGAGGAGGCGCGGGCAAGAAGCGCGCUGCCCUCAGCCCAUGGGGCCCUCAUGGCCGGCAGAGCCCUCGGCUUAUGAAAUGAAGGGUUACUGGCAAAGGUGCGUUGCACGGAGGAGUUACCGAGAUGAAGUUGAGCUUUGCCGGUGGAUCUGUGGUCGCAUCGUACCAUUAGCGCUCUUUACAGGUGAGG